UUUAGCUCUUUAAUCUUUUACUUUAUCUUUUACUUUAACGUUAUGUUCUAAUUAUAGAACAUCGUCUUGUAACCUCUAUAUAUAUGUGUGUAUAUCGUUCAAUGUAAUCAUCCGAUUAUUGAAUCAUUCAUUCAAUUUAUUUUUCAGAUUUAAGGUGCCUUGUAAAUAUCUCAUAAUGUGUUUUACUGCGACCAGGUGUAUCUCCUUUGGCUCACACAUAAACUGACUCAAAGCAUUUACUGCAUAGCAGAUAUCUGGUCUUGUAUUUACCAGAUACAUAAGAAACCCAAUCAUUUGCCUGUAUAGAGUGGGGUCAGUAGAAGGUGAUUCUGCUGCUGCUUCUUUAAGUUUAUGAAGAUUGGUUUCCAUUGGAGCGGUCAUGGGUCUGCAGUUUAGCAUUCCAAAUCUCUUCAAGAUGUCCAAUGUAUACUUGCCUUGGUUUAGAACAAUGUUAUCAGAAUUCUGCCAUACUUCCAACCUUAGGAAAUAAUGAAGGAGUCCCAAGUCCUUCAUAUCAAAUUCUUUGGAUAGCUCUUUCUUGCAUUGAUCUAUGAGGUGAUCUUCUCCUGUGAUUAAUAAGUCAUCAACAUAUAAAAUCAUUAUUAGCAUAUCACCUUUAUUCUGUUUGUAGUAGAGAUUAGGAUCUGCAUCAUUUUUAGAGAAGCCUAGUUUUGAUAGAUAUGUGUCAACUCUUUCAUACCAGGCCCUGGGAGCCUGUUUGAGCCCAUAUAGAGCUUUCUUGAGUCUACACACAUGAGACUCUAUAUGAUGGAUCUCAAACCCUUAAGGUUGCUCUAGGUAUACUUCUUCAGAUAUCUCUCCAUUAAGAAAAGCUGUCUUUACAUCCAUUUGAUGUACCUUCCAUCCAUUUGCUGCUGCAAUGGCUAGUACAGUCCUUACUGAGGUAUAUUUGGCUACAGGAGCAAAUGUUUCUUCAUAGUCUAUUCCUUCCUUUUGAGAAAAUCCUCUGGCUACAAAUCUUGCCUUAUAUUUUUCAAUGUUGCCAUCUGCUUCAUGUUUGAUCUUAAAAAGCCAUUUAGAAGAAACAACAGAUUUCUUAGUUGGCCUAGGAACAAUUUCCCAUACAUCAUUUUUCAUUAUGGAUUGAUACUCUUCAGACAUAGCAUCCUUCCAUACUUGAUGUUUAAGGGCAUCUGUUACAUUGUCAGGUUCGUUUUUAGAUAGAUCAUUCAUAAGAGCAACAGAGCUAGUAAAUUUAUUAGGUCUUUUGCUUUCUCUGAAGGUUCCAGAAGGAGCAGCAAAUCUCUGAGCUUCUUCUACUGUUUUGGUGGCCCAUAGUGGUCUUUUCUUGAGAUUUCUUGGUGAGUGUUCAUUUUCAUUUUCAGUUUCAUCUAGAUUCUCCCUCUGAAACUUAGGGGUAGGAUUUUCAUCUAAGUUAGAGGUAGGGACAUAGAUUUUGGGUUCUAUGAAGUUCUGAGCUCUUUUGAAAGCUAGGUCCUCCUCAAAGAUUACAUCCCUACUUAGUUCAAUAUUUCUUUGACUAGGUACAUAGAUUCUGUAGGCUUUGGAGGUUUCACUAUAUCCUACAAGCAAUCCUCUUUUUCCAGAAGGCUCUAGUUUUAGUCUCUUUUCUUUAGGUAUAUGGAUAUAGAUAGGACAUCCAAAUAUCCUAAGGUGGCUAAUAUCUAGCUUAAUUUUAGUGAAUACUUCCUCAGGAGUUUUGUCCUCAAGAUGGGAGUGAGGGCAUCUGUUCUGUAUAUAUACAACGGUGUUGGAUGCUUCUGCCCAAAGAUUUGUGUUAAGGUUUUGAUCUAGGAUCAUGGCCUUGACAACUUCAACUAUAGUCCUAUUUUUCCUUUCCGCUACCCCAUUUUGUUGGGGGUUAUAAGGUAUAGUGAGCUCCCUCUUAAUCCCAUUAUCUCUACAAAAUUCUUAAAAUGAAUCUGAUGUGUAUUCUCCCCCAUUGUCGGUUCUUAGGGUUUUAACUUUGUUUCCUGAGUGGUUUUCAGUUAGUGAUUUAAAUUCUUUAAACCUAGAGAGGAUCUCUUCUGAUUCUUUACUUUUCAGAAAGUAGAUCCAAGUCUUCCGAGAGUAGUCAUCAACAAAUAUUACAUAAUACAAGAAUCCCCCUAGAGAGGAUACGGACAUAGGUCCACACAUCAAAAUGAACUAAUUCUAGAAUUUUACUAGUUUUCCUAGUACUAUUUUGGAAUGCACCUUUGGUAUUUUUACCUAGGGCACAUCCUUUGCAUGCCCUUGAAUGAUCUUGCUUUAACUUGGGUAGACUUGUGACAAGGUUUCCCAUUGAAGAUAAAGCCCUAAAAUUCAGAUGGCCUAAUCUUCUAUGCCAAACUUCAUUUGCAUUAGUGGCUUCAUGUAUUAGGGCUAGGUUGGGUUCCGUGCACAGCUCAUACAAAUAGCCCCGUCUCUGUCCAAUGGUCUUUGCCUUCUUGAUGGAGGAGUUCCUUGGCCAAGCCAAUACUCUGUUGUCCGUGAAUGUCACUCUGUAUCAGUUAUCUUCCAGUGCCGAUAUAGAGACUAGAUUUCUUUUGAUGCCGGGGACAUAUAGUGCUCCUUCGAGCCGCAAGGAUAUGCCUGUCUUCAAUUUGAUGGUGCAGGUUCCUAUUCCUUUGACUGGAUGUGUGGAGUCAUCUUCGAUGGUUACGUCCUUAUCACUCUCCUCUGUCAUGGAAUCAAGUACUUCUCUAAACCCAGUGAUGUGCCUGGAUGAACCACUGUCAAUCACCCAUGAGUUGAUUUUGUUAGAAGCUUGGCUUGUGAGUGCUGAGUAGAAUACGUAUUUCCCGGAGUCAUCUUCCCCUUUAGUCUUUCCUGCUUUGGCAAAUGUAGCAUGUUUCUUGGUUCUUUCCGGGCACUUUGCAACAUAGUGUCCGAACUGAUCACAUCUGUAACAUUGAAUGUGAGAUAAGUCCUUUGAAGUAUUCUUGCCUUGACGACCUUUUCUCUUUCUAAACUGCCUUUUCUUGUUUUGCUUGGUGGAGUUAGUGUUUAGGACUUGUAGGUCUUCAUCUAUAUUCUUAUGUUUCAUUCCCAUCUUGUUCAAUCUUGAUUCUUCUUGGAGACAAUCAUCCCUUAAUCUUUCAAACUUAGGAUAUUUGGACCUUGCACUGAUGCCUUGGACGAAUGUGCUCCAUCCACGAGGCAACCCAUCUAGAGCAAUGAGUGUUAACUCUUUGCUUUGGAUCUCGUAGUCCAGAGUUGUUAGUUCAUCUUUUAGAAUUGAUAUCCGCAUAAAGUAGGCAUUGAUUGUCUCCCCUUUGUUCAUGGUGAUAUGAUUUAUUUCUCGUUUUAAUGGUAGAGUUCGACUUGCAUUUGAUAUCUCAAAUGUGCUUUCAAGUUCUUUGAACAUUUUAUAGGCUGUCUUAUGUUUUCUUAUGAUGGGCACUAUGUUUUUUCUCACCCCAUCAACUAUUAUUUUUAUUGCCUUUUCAUUUCCCUCAAUCCAUGCUGUUUUGUCAGGUUCAUUUUCGGGUUGAUCAUUUUUAGUUUGAACAAAUGAAUCCACUUUGUUCUCCUUUAAGAUCAUUUGAAUUCUGAAUUUCUAAGCUAAAAAAUCAUCGCCACCUCUGAGUCUGUCUUUGAAUCUGAUAGCACUGGCCAUUGGAGAAAUGUGAUGUAGUAUAUAAACUUGUUCUUAAAUUUGUUUCACGAAAUUAAAUAACCUCAAGUUCGAUCAACUUGGCUCUGAUACCAUGUAAAUGUUAUUGCAAUUUCCAAUUUAAUGGACAAGUUAUAUGGUAGAUAGUGUAUUUGCCUUUUGGUAUUAUUUCUAUGACAAUAAUAUUAUCUUAUUUCUUUUCUGCAGGUCUGAGGAAUGGACAUGUAUCGAUUUCAAUGUCAUUCCUUUUCUUUUGAAUGAUGUAUAUAUAUCAAGGCAGCCAUGAUCAAGUGGCACCUUGAUCGGACAUGUCUUUUAGACAUGUCCGACCAAGAUGUCACUUGGUCGUGACUGUCCACCGAUUCACUUCGAUGUUUAUGAUAACAGUUCGGUAUCAUUUGCAUAUGUUAAUAGUUCGAUAUAAACACACACGAUGAUGAAUCGGUGUCAAGGCAUAUUAUGAUAUAAGCACACUCGAUAAUGAAUCGGUGUUAAUUUAAACAAUAACAAUAACUAAUAGCAUUAUAUGCUAUCGGGUUAAUACCCCGAUAGUAUAUUAAUGCCGAUUCAUAAAUGAAUCAACAUUAAUAUGCUAUCGGGUUAUCAGCCCGAUAGCAUUUAGAUCGACGCUUAACAUAGUUAAGCAGGUCGUCUAUCUAAUCCAUAUCCAUUAUCAAUAUCAUAAUCAAAAUCAAGGUUACAGUCUGAUAAACAUAUUCAGUUUAGAUAAUCUAAUAGCAUAGAUGAAUAAAUCAAAACAGAGGAGAUUAAUGAGAUAGGUAAAUCUUAUCUUGCAAAAGCUACUAAUGCAUUAACAGGUAGCGCACCGCGUAUUCGACCCACGACAUCUUAACGUUCAAAUGUCAGUUUUGCGCGUUUUUCCACUUGUCACCUAUCUUUGUCGGUGGAAACAAUUCAGAAUCUUCUAGAUGGCUCACGGACCCCUUCUUUCCCUCCUAUUCUCUCAUUUUAAAUCCAUCUUUUUCUUCUUUCAAGCUCUCUAGAUUCUGGACACAAUCUCUCUUAUUCUUUGGGCUCUCUCUUGCUCUUGCUACAACACUCUCAAGCUCUCACAAUAAUCUCUUGCAACUCUCUUGGCUUUCUCAAGCCUCUUUGGUAAUAUCUUUCUAUCAUUCUAUCUAUCUCAUCUUUGAGCAUCUUGGGAUUUAUCACAUCCCCUAUCUAUUUAAUCAUUUUAUCAUUCUAGCUAUUUAUCUUUUGAUUUAUCUAUUUAUCUGGGUUGUUUGUGGAGGUGGAAACACUAAAACGGGGGUCUGACUGAGGCAGACUCCAAAACACAACCCCCAACAUUUUCUCUCUCUUGCUCGUGUGCAUGUUUGUAAUCAAAGAAAGGAGAUUAUCUUGCUGGAGGUUUCAGUCGUGGACCAGUUGACGAUAGUGUGCUGUGCUGGUGUCCCAGUUUUGCGCGUUCGUCCCGAAAAUAGAGGCUUCGCAGAGUCGUCCAGAGGUCUUCUUUGUGGCAUGAUUGUCUAAUUCUGUUGUUUUUAUCCCCUGGCUCACCCUUAGCUAGCACCAAUUUGAGUGAGGUAGCGAUGGAUAGGUUUGCUAUGGAGGAUUUGUCAUCUUAGAGCCUAGGGUCCUGGUUUGGUCUGGCCCAAAUACGAUCAGGGUCUUGCAUUUUGCCUGUGGGAUCGCUGUGAAGGACCUGGAGAGAAUUUGGAGGAAUUUGCAGCGAAUUUUGGCCUCAGCAGCAGAACCCGGGAAUAAUUUGACGGAUUUAAGAUAUUUUUUUGAUUUUUUAAAAUUUCUUUUUGGUCGAUUUUGGUCAACUCGACCCACCAACCCUAAAAUUGACCACCAAAAAGGUCAAAAAGGUGAAACAUAUCUCAUUUGUGCAUUUGUGAAUUUGCCACAGCAGGAGGAUGAUGAUAUGUUUGAUGACUUUGGAUGAUAUUUGAUCAGUGAUGGCUGAUUGUUAAUGUUGACAUUAUUAUAUUUGAAUUGAAACAUUGAUAUGGUGGUGUAAUUUGGCAUUUUGCUAUGUUAUUUGGACUAAAACAUUAACAUAUAUGGUGGUGUAUUUUGCUAUGUUACUUUACUAUUAGCAUAGUUGAUAGUAGUGUAUUAUGAACUUAUUUGCUGCUGCAUAUAUGUAUAUAUAUUUUAUUUUUUAUUUUUAUAUGUUUUUGUAUGGAUGAACCCGAAGUGAACCCAAACCCAUCUCAAAUCUUUUUUUGAAUGAACCUGCAAACCUGAACCCACCCCAAAAUUUUUUUGAAUGAACCUGCGAACCUGAACCCACCCCCAAAUGUUUUUGAACGAACCUGCGAACCUGAAUCUUGAAUCUGAACUGGGACUGGCAACUUAGCUUUUAAAGAGUGGAUACUUUACUUUUGUCUGAGAUUGUUUCUGCCACCAGGCUUGGAAGUUUUAUUUAGAUAAAAUGUCUUAGCAUGAGUAUGUAUUACAAGUGUCUUCCAAGCUUUCCCUAAGACGUAAUCAACAUUUACUAGAAUGCUUUGGAAUUUGACGGAUUCAGACCAAAUCAAGCUAGGGAGGAUGAAAGAAAACUGUAUAUUCAGAUGCAAAUUCAUGGAUUCCUUGAAUUCUUAAUAGCAGAAAGAUGAACUGUUUACUUCUUUUGUGUUUUAAUAAUGGGAGGUUCCUUAUGGAUUUCAAGGUAGUGUUGUUACUAGUAGCUUAGGAUGAAAAGUGAUAAUGAACAUUAUUUAAGCUAUAAGGUCAUUAAAAAAGAUUCUGCGUAAGCUGCUUCAAACAUCUAUUUAUUUGGUAGCAUUUUUAAGCCAAUAGAAGAUCUCAGGAUAUAUGACUAGAAGCAGUCUGCAAAUUUAAAUGAAGAAAGUCUGGAUGUCAUUUGAUCAUAAGUUAUCGCUUUUAAAGGUAAUUUAGAACAUUGUGCUACUGCCAACAACCUUUGACCUUCACACUACUGCAACAGAUCUCUUUUCAUUGGAAUCUCCCAUAUGAAAUGGGGGAACAAAUUUCAGUUCAUCAAAGCUCAUAACAUUAAACAAGUUAACAAACUUUACAAGAAGAUUCGAUGAAUGCAAAGAUUCUGAAGGCUCAUGGGAUAAAAUUUUGAGGUGUAUUGAUGUUGCUACUAGUUUGAGAAGGUAAACGACAGUGUUUACGUUACUUCCCCAGCUAAUUUACGUGUCUUCACAAGGAACUCCCUUGCAUAGGGGGCAAUAGGUUCUGCUCAUCUAUUCUCAAGUUUUUAAUUUUAAUUAGGAUAACAUAUAAGGCAAAAUGGCGUUGGCCUUCAAGUUUCAUUUGAUCUGUCCUUAUGUUCUAUCUUUGUUUAAUUACAGUAACCCUUAACUUCUUUACACGUAGCAUUCUUUUGCUAAUUAUUUCAAUCUGGUUCAGUCAGCUCUAUGCUCUAUGGCUUAGAAAUGUUAUUUUAUAUAAAAUUUUAGCAGCUAAAAAGUUUUAAAAUAAGAGCAUUUGCUGUUCUGAUGCACUAUUCAUUAAAUAUUUGAAGUAUUUGAGAAUCCCUUUUUUGGUAUUUUGUAUUUUUUAAUUGUGUUUUGCUCAAUCUGAAUUAUUGACUUGGGAAAGGGAUAUUUGUUUCCUUAUAUUAUGCUGUCUAGGUUUAUUGAUUUCAACUUCAUUUAUAAUUGUAUAACAGGGACUUGAAGGAUUUAAAUGCCUAACUGAAAUCUUAUUAGUCAAGUCUGUUGGAAAUAGUAUAGUUGUUAGUGAUUUGUAUGCAAUAUGUAGGUAAGUAUUUUGAAAAUUUCAUUUGCUUUUUCCAUUUUUUAUAUUUAGAUCCAAGGCUUGCUAAAUAUAUUUUUGCUUAGCAUGAACUGGAUACUUGGAAAAGUGUAAAUUGUUAAAUCACUUGUUUGGUAUUGCAAUUUCAACUUUGUUUAUAACAACAUCUAUACUAUCUCUAAAAAUAUUCAUCGGGCUGGUGGAUAAAUGGAAGGUACAUGUUUUUAAAUUUAAUCAUACGCAAGCCUUAUUUCAUCUGAUUCUCUUAAAGUACAUGUUAUAGUAAAUAUACAAUCUGAAAGUGCAUUGAGCAUCCUUAAGUUUUCUGGUUUUAGAUUUUGAAAUCAGAAGUUUGUAAAAUUUAUGAAUAUCAUUUGGCUUGGUGAGACACUAUUCUUUUCUAUUCCAAGAGUGGCUCUUAUUUUCAUAGUUCUUAAAAUUAGAGGAUAUGCAUGCUGGGAUCUGUGCUGAUGGU